rnacentral:rRNA from 1 species
AACGAACGCUGGCGGCAGGCUUAACACAUGCAAGUCGAGCGCCCCGCAAGCGGAGCGGCAGACGGGUGAGUAACGCGUGGGAACGUACCCUUUGCUACGGAAUAGCUCCGGGAAACUGGAAGUAAUACCGGAGGCGCCCUACGGGGCAAAGAUUUAUCGGCAAAGGAUCGGCCCGCGUUGGAUUAGCUAGUUGGUGGGGUAAUGGCCUACCAAGGAGACGAUCCAUAGCUGGUCUGAGAGGAUGAUCAGCCACAUUGGGACUGAGACACGGCCCAAACUCCUACGGGAGGCAGCAGUGGGGAAUAUUGGACAAUGGGCGCAAGCCUGAUCCAGCCAUGCCGCGUGAGUGAUGAAGGCCUUAGGGUUGUAAAGCUCUUUCACCGGAGAAGAUAAUGACGGUAUCCGGAGAAGAAGCCCCGGCUAACUUCGUGCCAGCCGCCGCCGUAACAC